rnacentral:rRNA from 1 species
ACGAACGCUUGCGGCUUGCUUAACACAUGCAAGUCGAACGGAAAGGCCCUGCUUUUGUGGGGUGCUCGAGUGGCGAACGGGUGAGUAACACGUGAGUAACCUGCCCUUGACUUUGGGAUAACUUCAGGAAACUGGGGCUAAUACCGGAUAGGAGCUCCUGCUGCAUGGUGGGGGUUGGAAAGUUUCGGCGGUUGGGGAUGGACUCGCGGCUUAUCAGCUUGUUGGUGGGGUAGUGGCUUACCAAGGCUUUGACGGGUAGCCGGCCUGAGAGGGUGACCGGCCACAUUGGGACUGAGAUACGGCCCAGACUCCUACGGGAGGCAGCAGUGGGGAAUAUUGCACAAUGGGCGGAAGCCUGAUGCAGCAACGCCGCGUGCGGGAUGACGGCCUUCGGGUUGUAAACCGCUUUCGCCUGUGACGAAGCGUGAGUGACGGUAAUGGGUAAAGAAGCACCGGCUAACUACGUG